GCUAUCUCCAAAUGUGGUGAGGGCGUACGAACCGAGUCAGGGCGGAAACGCAGCAGCUCUAAGUGCUAACCCUCAGGUGCAGGCGGAGAUAGCAUU
rnacentral:SRP_RNA from 1 species